rnacentral:rRNA from 1 species
UACGGGGGGGGCAAGCGUUGUUCGGAAUUACUGGGCGUAAAGGGCUCGUAGGCGGCCAACUAAGUCAUACGUGAAAUCCCUCGGCUUAACCGGGGAACUGCGUCUGAUACUGGAUGUCUUGAGUUUGGGAGAGGGAUGCGGAAUUCCAGGUGUAGCGGUGAAAUGCGUAGAUAUCUGGAGGAACACCGGUGGCGAAGGCGGCAUCCUGGACCAACACUGACACUGAGGAGCGAAAGCCAGGGGAGCAAACGGG